rnacentral:rRNA from 1 species
CCGGAGCUUGCUCCACCGGAAAAAGAGGAGUGGCGAACGGGUGAGUAACACGUGGGUAACCUGCCCAUCAGAAGGGGAUAACACUUGGAAACAGGUGCUAAUACCGUAUAACAAUCGAAACCGCAUGGUUUUGAUUUGAAAGGCGCUUUCGGGUGUCGCUGAUGGAUGGACCCGCGGUGCAUUAGCUAGUUGGUGAGGUAACGGCUCACCAAGGCGACGAUGCAUAGCCGACCUGAGAGGGUGAUCGGCCACAUUGGGACUGAGACACGGCCCAAACUCCUACGGGAGGCAGCAGUAGGGAAUCUUCGGCAAUGGACGAAAGUCUGACCGAGCAACGCCGCGUGAGUGAAGAAGGUUUUCGGAUCGUAAAACUCUGUUGUUAGAGAAGAACAAGGAUGAGAGUAACUGUUCAUCCCUUGACGGUAUCUAACCAGAAAGCCACGGCUAACUACGUGCCAGCAGCCGCGGUAAUACGUAGGUGGCAAGCGUUGUCCGGAUUUAUGUGGGCGUAAAGCGAGCGCAGGCGGGUUCUUAAGUCUGAUGUGAAAGCCCCCGGCUCAACCGGGGAGGGUCAUUG